rnacentral:rRNA from 1 species
CCUACGGGUCGCAGCAGUGGGGAAUAUUGCACAAUGGGCGCAAGCCUGAUGCAGCCAUGCCGCGUGUGUGAAGAAGGCCUUCGGGUUGUAAAGCACUUUCAGCGGGGAGGAAGGCGGUGAGGUUAAUAACCUCAUCGAUUGGCGUUACCCGCAGAAGAAGCACCGGCUAACUCCGUGCCAGCAGCCGCGGUAAUACGGAGGGUGCAAGCGUUAAUCGGAAUUACUGGGCGUAAAGCGCACGCAGGCGGUCUGUCAAGUCGGAUGUGAAAUCCCCGGGCUCAACCUGGGAACUGCAUUCGAAACUGGCAGGCUAGAGUCUUGUAGAGGGGGGUAGAAUUCCAGGUGUAGCGGUGAAAUGCGUAGAGAUCUGGAGGAAUACCGGUGGCGAAGGCGGCCCCCUGGACAAAGACUGACGCUCAGGUGCGAAAGCGUGGGGAGCAAACAGGAUUAGAUACCCGUGUAGUC